UACGGGGGGGGCAAGCGUUUGUUCGGAAUUACUGGGCGUAAAGGGCUCGUAGGCGGCCAACUAAGUCAGACGUGAAAUCCCCAGGCUCAACCUGGGAACUGCGUCUGAUACUGGAUGGCUUGAAUCCGGGAGAGGGAUGCAGAAUUCCAGGUGUAGCGGUGAAAUGCGUAGAUAUCUGGAGGAAUACCGGUGGCGAAGGCGGCAUCCUGGACCGGCAUUGACGCUGAGGCGCGAAAGCCAGGGGAGCAAACGGG
rnacentral:rRNA from 1 species